rnacentral:rRNA from 1 species
GAUGAACGCUGGCGGCGUGCCUAAUACAUGCAAGUCGAGCGAACAGACGAGGAGCUUGCUCCUCUGACGUUAGCGGCGGACGGGUGAGUAACACGUGGAUAACCUACCUAUAAGACUGGGAUAACUUCGGGAAACCGGAGCUAAUACCGGAUAAUAUAUUGAACCGCAUGGUUCAAUAGUGAAAGACGGUUUUGCUGUCACUUAUAGAUGGAUCCGCGCCGCAUUAGCUAGUUGGUAAGGUAACGGCUUACCAAGGCAACGAUGCGUAGCCGACCUGAGAGGGGGACCGGCGAAACGGGGACUGAGAGAGGGCCCAGACGGCAACGGGAGGCAGGAGGGGGGAAUAGUGCACAAUGGGCGAAAGCGAGAGACAGAGAUGCAGCGAGAGGGAUGACUGGCUACGAGGUGUAAACCCAUUUCAGCGCAGACGAACAGCAAGUGACGGUAGGUGAAGAAGAAGGAACGGCCAACUACGUG